rnacentral:snoRNA from 1 species
UCUGAUGAUGACACACUUGCCCUCAAUGAGAAUGCUGUUUGGUAAUGAGAACCUUGCUGUGUACUCAGUUGAGCUCAGUUAGA